AACGAACGCUGGCGGCAGGCCUAACACAUGCAAGUCGAACGCUGUAGCAAUACAGAGUGGCAGACGGGUGAGUAACGCGUGGGAACCUUCCCAAUGGUACGGAAUAGCUCAGGGAAACUUGAGGUAAUACCGUAUAAGCCCCUAGGGGAAAGGAUUAUUCGCCAUUGGAUGGGCCCGGCGUCGGAUUAGCUAGUUGGUGAGGUAAUGGCUCACCAAGGCAACGAAUCCGUAGCUGGUUUGAGAGAAUGACCAGCCACACUGGGACUGAGACACGGCCCAGACUCCUACGGGAGGCAGCAGUGGGGAAGUCUUGGACAAUGGGCGGCAAGCCUGAUCCAGCCAUGCCGCGUGAGUGAU
rnacentral:rRNA from 1 species